rnacentral:rRNA from 1 species
UACGGAGGGUGCAAGCGUUAAUCGGAAUUACUGGGCGUAAAGCGCGCGUAGGUGGCGUGAUAAGCCGGUUGUGAAAGCCCCGGGCUCAACCUGGGAACGGCAUCCGGAACUGUCAGGCUAGAGUGCAGGAGAGGAAGGUAGAAUUCCCGGUGUAGCGGUGAAAUGCGUAGAGAUCGGGAGGAAUACCAGUGGCGAAGGCGGCCUUCUGGACUGACACUGACACUGAGGUGCGAAAGCGUGGGUAGCAAACAGG